UACGGGGGGGGCAAGCGUUGUUCGGAAUUACUGGGCGUAAAGGGCUCGUAGGCGGCCAACUAAGUCAGACGUGAAAUCCCUCGGCUUAACCGGGGAACUGCAUCUGUUACUGGAUGGCUUGAGUUCGGGAGAGGGAUGCGGAAUUCCAGGUGUAGCGGUGAAAUGCGUAGAUAUCUGGAGGAACACCGGUGGCGAAGGCGGCAUCCUGGACCGACACUGACGCUGAGGAGCGAAAGCCAGGGGAGCAAACAGG
rnacentral:rRNA from 1 species